AGCAGCCGCGGUAAUUCCAGCUCCAAUAGCGUAUAUUAAAGUUGCUGCAGUUAAAAAGCUCGUAGUUGAAUUUCGGGACUAAUAUGUCGGUCGUGCCUCGGUACGUACUGGUUUAUUGGUUUCUCCUUUCUGAAGAACCAUGAUGUCAUUUAUUUGGUGUCGUGGGGAAUCAGGACUGUUACUUUGAAAAAAUUAGAGUGUUUAAAGCAGGCUCACGCUUGAAUACAUUAGCAUGGAAUAAUGAAAUAGGACGUUUGAUUCUAUUUUGUUGGUUUCUAGGAUCGACGUAAUGAUUAAUAGGGAUAGUUGGGGGCAUUAGUAUUCAAUUGUCAGAGGUGAAAUUCUUGGAUUUAUUGAAGACUAACUACUGCGAAAGCAUUUGCCAAGGAUGUUUUCAUUAAUCAAGAACGAAAGUUAGGGGAUCGAAGACGAUCAGAUACCGUCGUAGUCUUAACCAUAAACUAUGCCGACUAGGGAUCGGAUGAUGUU
rnacentral:misc_RNA from 1 species